AACGAACGCUGGCGGCAUGCCUAACACAUGCAAGUCGAACGAACCCUUCGGGGUUAGUGGCGCACGGGUGCGUAACGCGUGGGAAUCUGCCCUUUGCUUCGGAAUAACAGUUAGAAAUGACUGCUAAUACCGGAUGAUGUCUUCGGACCAAAGAUUUAUCGGCAAGGGAUGAGCCCGCGUAGGAUUAGGUAGUUGGUGGGGUAAAGGCCUACCAAGCCGACGAUCCUUAGCUGGUCUGAGAGGAUGAUCAGCCACACUGGGACUGAGACACGGCCCAGACUCCUACGGGAGGCAGCAGUGGGGAAUAUUGGACAAUGGGCGCAAGCCUGAUCCAGCAAUGCCGCGUGAGUGAUGAAGGCCUUCGGGUCGUAAAGCUCUUUUACCAGGGAUGGUAAUGACAGUACCUGGAGAAUAAGCUCCGGCUAACUCCGUGCCAGCAGCCGCGGUAAAAC
rnacentral:rRNA from 1 species